rnacentral:rRNA from 1 species
AGCGGCGGACGGGUGAGUAACACGUGGAUAACCUACCUAUAAGACUGGGAUAACUUCGGGAAACCGGAGCUAAUACCGCAUAACAGUUUAUGCCGCAUGGCAUAAGAGUGAAAGGUGCUUUCGGGUGUCGCUGAUGGAUGGACCCGCGGUGCAUUAGCUAGUUGGUGAGGUAACGGCUCACCAAGGCCACGAUGCAUAGCCGACCUGAGAGGGUGAUCGGCCACACUGGGACUGAGACACGGCCCAGACUCCUACGGGAGGCAGCAGUAGGGAAUCUUCGGCAAUGGACGAAAGUCUGACCGAGCAACGCCGCGUGAGUGAAGAAGGUUUUCGGAUCGUAAAACUCUGUUGUUAGAGAAGAACAAGGACGUUAGUAACUGAACGUCCCCUGACGGUAUCUAACCAGAAAGCCACGGCUAACUACGUGCCAGCAGCCGCGGUAAUACGUAGGUGGCAAGCGUUGUCCGGAUUUAUUGGGCGUAAAGCGAGCGCAGGCGGUUUCUUAAGUCUGAUGUGAAAGCCCCCGGCUCAACCGGGGAGGGUCAUUGGAAACUGGGAGACUUGAGUGCAGAAGAGGAGAGUGGAAUUCCAUGUGUAGCGGUGAAAUGCGUAGAUAUAUGGAGGAACACCAGUGGCGAAGGCGGCUCUCUGGUCUGUAACUGACGCUGAGGCUCGAAAGCGUGGGGAGCAAACAGG